ACUCUAGUAGUUUACAACAAAACAUUGGUCUUGUAAACCAAAAGAUGAAGGUCACCUCCCUCCUAGAGUU
rnacentral:tRNA from 1 species